rnacentral:rRNA from 1 species
GACAGAGGGUGCGAACGUUGUUCGGAAUUACUGGGCGUAAAGCGCGUGUAGGCGGCCAUGCAAGUCGGGCGUGAAAUCCCACGGCUCAACCGUGGAAGUGCACUCGAAACUGCAUAGCUAGAGUCCUGGAGAGGAAGGUGGAAUGCUUGGUGUAGAGGUGAAAUUCGUAGAUAUCAAGCGGAACACCGGUGGCGAAGGCGGCCUUCUGGACAGUGACUGACGCUGAGACGCGAAAGCGUGGGGAGCAAACAGG